GACUACCUGGCCUGAUGACUCCUUGCUGUCCCCAGUCCACCUGGUCAUGCUGCUGCUCCAGUUUCAACUGUUUUGCCUGCAGCUAUGGAACCCUGACCUGUUGACUGGACGUGCUACCUGUCCCAGGCCUGAUGAGUGGACCUCAUCGAACCCUUCACGAAAUCCACGAGUGGCAACAGCUGGUGUCUGAUCAUACCCAUUAAGUACGAGACAAGUACGAGACCAUCAAGUACGAGACCAAGGCAAUAGUGGACAUCUUCAACACCCACGGUUCUCCUGAGGUCAUUUUGAAUGACCGAGGUCAUGAAUGCUGGAACAAGGUUUGGUGAAUGACCAACCAGACCCUCAAGACUGCCAUGGGCAAGUCUCUUGAUUGGUAUCAGGAAGGGUGGGAGAACAACCUGAAGGUAAUUCUCUUUGCACACAACAGCAGCAUCCAGGCUGAGUAUGGACAGGAGCCGCAGCUGUUGACUGAGAUCACUGAAACCCCACCUGAUGUGGUGGAAGUUGUCGAACCAGAUCAGAACGCCGUUGAGUACUACCUUCAGGCACAGACUGAGAAGGACGUGGAGGUUUUUGACCAGCUUCCUGCCGUUCUCACUCAGGUUGGUGAUUGGGGCCAGGCGAGGGCUGCGGUGGUAUGGUAAGUACUCCACAGCAGGCGAAGCAACAAUGACAGAGACAGG
ensembl:lncRNA